UUGCCAACCUCUCUCUCCUUAGUUAUUUAAACCCCUUCCUUCACUCUUGAUUAGAUCCAUGGAUACACAGUUCACAAGCUUUACUCUUCAUUCUUCAUUGAAGUAGAACCUAGUCAUCAACCUUUUCUUGGAGGAAUCAUAUCUAGCUUUGCAUCUUCUUCAAGUGGAGACUUUAUAAAUGGGUAAAGUUAUGGUUUGUUACUGAUAUAUAAAUAUAUCUAUGUAUUUAUACACUUGGGUUUGUUAUUUAAUUACUGACCUUGAGGGAUCUUCUUGUUUGAGAAAAUAAACGAAUGAGGAAGAAAGGACAUCUUAGCACAUGCAUCAAGAACAAGGUGCAUGUCCAUAUUUGUUUCCUUGGUAAUUGGAGCACUACUGCUGUUAAUUCCCUUUAAUUGUGUCUCUUAAUGAUGUAGCUCCUUUUCUAUGAUUAAGUUCCAGAUCAA